AUAUUUUAGGUCUGUGGUUGCAAGUCCAAGCCAGUCGCAGGCAAAGGGACCCACGUAAGGUAAUUAAAAAUAAGAUUACUGAGCAUGGUGCGGCUUAGGGGUAAGACCUGCCAGGUUCUUGUUCAAAUGCAUUUCUAUGGAAAUCAUUGCUUGAGAAAACUGAGAGAGGUAGUAGUGACGGCGAACCCGGAGCGAACCUUCCAGCAGGCGAGUGUGGGGUCAAAGACCAGGUCAGCUAAGAAUAU
rfam:Geosporobacter ferrireducens strain IRF9, complete genome.